UUUUAUUUUUCCCGCAAUAAAAAAUUGAUAAACUGAGUUCUCUUGCAAAAACUAUAUCUACAGAUUGCCUUAAAAUUUAUCAUUGAAGAGUUGCUCUUGAAAAUUGAAGCAUGACAUCUUGCAGUCUUCUCGUCGUUUUUCUUUUGGGUGUAAAUCUCCUUUUACUAGUUUCUGCAAGAUCUGGAAUCAAUUCUGAUGUUUCUGAAAUUCCUGUGCAUGCCGUCACUGAGGGAUUUCAGAAUAUAGAUCCAGUCAGCCCCACUAUAUAUUCCGAUUGUGAUUGUGGAACUGGCUCCUUAGCAUGUGUCAAGGUAAAUGAAAAAAAAGUUUGUCUUUGCGAAGAUGGUAGAGCUCAAAAGGGAGACACAUGCGAAGUUGUUGUUUCUGCUGGAUGGAGAACAGGCGGCAUCAUCCUAAUUGUACUUUUCAUUAUCACCCUUGUAGGAUUUGGAUUCUUCGUUUUCAAAAGCAGGCAAUAGUAAACGAAGAGAUUGCUUUGAUGGAAGAGAUUACAUUGUUUGCAUUGAAAAGAUUACUGGACAAUUAAAAAUCAUCAAAGAUAUUGAAUAUUUAUUACACAAUGAGCAUUUAUUGAAAUUUUAUGUGGUCUUCUUUCGGAAUUCGUAGUUUUUUCAGCUCUUGAAAAAAAUGUUUUUUUUUUCUUCUUUCAUUACGUACAAGGUAAUAAAAUGCAUUUAAAGCAAUAAAAUACACUUAGUUG